UAGGGAAUCUUCGGCAAUGGACGAAAGUCUGACCGAGCAACGCCGCGUGAGUGAAGAAGGUUUUCGGAUCGUAAAACUCUGUUGUCAGAGAAGAACAAGGAUGAGAGUAAAAUGUUCAUCCCUUGACGGUAUCUAACCAGAAAGCCACGGCUAACUACGUGCCAGCAGCCGCGGUAAUACGUAGGUGGCAAGCGUUGUCCGGAUUUAUUGGGCGUAAAGCGAGCGCAGGCGGUUUCUUAAGUCUGAUGUGAAAGCCCCCGGCUCAACC
rnacentral:rRNA from 1 species